rnacentral:rRNA from 1 species
UACGUAGGGUGCAAGCGUUAUCCGGAAUUAUUGGGCGUAAAGAGCUCGUAGGCGGUUUGUCGCGUCUGCUGUGAAAACCCGAGGCUCAACCUCGGGCCUGCAGUGGGUACGGGCAAACUAGAGUGCGGUAGGGGAGAUUGGAAUUCCUGGUGUAGCGGUGGAAUGCGCAGAUAUCAGGAGGAACACCGAUGGCGAAGGCAGAUCUCUGGGCCGUAACUGACGCUGAGGAGCGAAAGCAUGGGAGCGAACAGG